rnacentral:rRNA from 1 species
UUAUCAAAAACAUGUCUUUUUGAAAAUAAUAUAAAGUCUAAUCUGCCCACUGAUUUAAUAUUAAAGGGCUGCAGUAUAUUGACUGUACAAAGGUAGCAUAAUCAUUAGUCAUUUAAUUGAUGACUUGUAUGAAGGAUUGGAUGAAAUAUAAACUGUCUCUUAAUUAUAUUUAGAAUUUAAUUUUUUAAUUAAAAAGUUAAAAUGAAUUAAAAAGACGAGAAGACCCUAUAGAGUUUUAUAAUUAAAUUAAUUGAGAUUUUUUGUAAGAUUAAAAUUAAAAUUAAUUUACUUAUUUUGUUGGGGUGACAGAAAAAUAUGGAGAACUUUUUUUAUAUUAUUACAUAAAUAAGUGAUUAGAUGAUCCAAUAUUAUUGAUUAUAAGAAAAAAUUACCUUAGGGAUAACAGCGUAAUUUUUUUUUUUAGUUCAUAUAAAAAAAAAAGUUUGCGACCUCGAUGUUGGAUUAAGAUAAAAUU